UGACACACACAGACCACCGCAUUAUUAUGCCUCAGGAUUUCAUUCCAAAAACAGCAGUCUUAUAUAUAAGGAGAGCAUUAAAAACACAAGCCAGGCCAAUGAUAGUCAGUGUUAAAAGCUCAAGUUUUCAGGCAUUUUAUAUGUGUAUGUGCACUUGCCAAAGCACAUCACCUGUGUAUAGUAUAUAUACUAUAGUCACCAUGUGACAAAAGUCAGUUCAGUCAACACAAGUUGCCAUAACAUUAUCAAAUAGCAUAACAACCCUAGCUGGUUAGAACAACUGGUUAGAGCAGCCGCAGGCUGAAGGGUCCUGGGUUCAAUUCUAGUCAAGGGCAUGUACCUUGGUUGCAGGCUCCAUCCAUAGCCCCUCCGCAUGCAGGAGGCAACCAAUCGAUAAAAAACAUCGAUGUGUCUCUCACAUCGAUGUUUCUGUCUCCCUUCCUUCCACUCUUUUUAAAAAUGGAAAAAUAUCCUCA